rnacentral:rRNA from 1 species
UAGCAAUACUCUAGUGGCGGACGGGUGAGGAAUACGUAGGAAUCUGCCCUUAAGUGGGGGAUAACCCGGGGAAACCCGGAUUAAUACCGCAUGAUCUCGAAAGAGCAAAGCAGGGGACCGCAAGGCCUUGCGCUUUUGGAGGAGCCUACGUCGGAUUAGCUAGUUGGUGAGGUAACGGCUCACCAAGGCGACGAUCCGUAACUGUCUUAAGAGGAUGAUCAGUCACACCGGAACUGAGACACGGUCCGGACUCCUACGGGAGGCAGCAGUGGGGAAUAUUGGACAAUGGGCGAAAGCCUGAUCCCAGCAAUGCCGCGUGUGUGAAGAAGGCCUUCGGGUUGUAAAGCACUUUAAGUUGGGAAGAAAAAGCUUCACCUAAUACGGGAGCCUUGACGGUACCGACAGAAUAAGCACCGGCUA